GAAUGAGCUUUGCAUUCUUCAAGAUGACGUUCCACCUUUUCCUAAUGAGGUUGCGUUCAGUAUCAUAGAAGAAGAACUGGGUCGCCCCCUUGAAGCUGUUUUUAGCAAAAUUUCGUCACGGACAAUAGCAGCAGCAAGUUUGGGUCAAGUUUAUCGAGCUACUCUACGAGACUCUGGCGAGGAUGUUGCUAUCAAGGUUCAAAGGCCUAAGAUCGAGCCAAUAAUUUACCAGGAUCUUUUUCUCUUCCGUACGCUUGCUUCCUUUUUAAAUGGCAUCAGUCUACAGAAACUUGGGUGUAAUGCCGAGCUCAUAGUUGAUGAAUUUGGUGAGAAGCUAUUGGAGGAGCUUGAUUAUACUUUGGAAGCCCGUAACCUUGAGGAUUUUCUUGAAAACUUCAAAAAUGAUCCCACUGUAAAAAUUCCUCGUGUUUACAAACAACUUUCUGGUUCACGGGUUUUGGUGAUGGAAUGGAUUGAUGGAAUCCGCUGCACCGACCCACAGGCUAUUAAGAAUGCUGGCAUUGAUGUCGAUGGAUUUUUAACAGUUGGAGUUAGUGCAGCAUUGCGGCAAUUGCUAGAAUUUGGGUUAUUUCAUGGUGAUCCCCAUCCUGGAAACAUUUUUGCGAUGCGUGAUGGACGUAUCGCAUAUGUGGAUUU
rnacentral:misc_RNA from 1 species